CAAGGAGUUAAUUCCAAAUGAUGAAGCAAUCCAGCCCAGAAAGCAGCUAAGAUUGAGCUUAUGUCAACAGGUAGAAUUUACAGUCUCACAAAAAGAAAUGUUUAACAGUCAACUAUUUAGUUGCAAUAAAUUAGACUUUCACUAUGUUGUUCUUAUCACAGAGAUCUAUAGAUGAAAAGCAGUAUAUAGUAGCUAAUUAUUAAUUUUAUUUAUUACCACAGGCAGGAUUUUCUAGUAGCAUUCUGUUCCUUAAUGUGAAACUAGGGAUCAGAACUUUAUGAUGACCUGAAGCUGGUUUCUUAACAGUUUCGAUUUCCUGCUCUUCACAGUCACCAUAAAUCUUGUUCUCCUCCUCAAAGCUUCAGAUGUUUCUAACUUCUUAUCUAUCAGCCUCUAAAGUGCUUCCAGACUCCCACAAACGUUUUAGCUGACUCCAAAGGCUUGUCUGCCACUCUUCUAAGUGUCAGGCCAUAUAUCUGUUUUGGGGGAGUUCCUCAUUGAAAAAGGCAUACUAUGCAAAACACAUAGGCAGGGAGGACCCAGAGGCACCCCAGCCUCACUUAUAUUUCAAGUCUGAACCCAUGCUGUCAUUCAAACUUGCCUAGAAUGCAAACUGCCUGAACAAGCCUUUGCUUAAGCUCACCAAGCUGAAGGUAGCAGCACUACAGCAACUCCUCUGUGAUUGCAGUUGCAAGGGUGAGUGAGGCCAUGGCCCAGGUUCUAUCCUAUAAUGCUUUGUGGAGGCAUUACAUGACUGGUCUCAACACGAAUACAUGAACCUCAGAUCAUGUACCACACCGGGAUUCAUCCAGCACUUUGAGAGCAGACACCAGCAGCCAAGCAUUGGUGAGUCCCCAGCCUUAAUUUGAAACUGGUUCUUAAAGGAGGAAGAGGGUGAGGGCUGAGGGAGGAGAAUGAACAUUGGAGAGAGAGCUUGCAAGGAAGGAAAAGGAGUUUGCGACACCACAUCUCAACACAGCUUAAACAUCAUUUAAAUAAGGAUUAUAAUGAAAAACUGCACUUGCUCUAUCAGCUUUCUUCACAAAUCACAGCCACCAGAACAGGACAGUAGAACAGAUACUUGCCUAUUCAAUCUGAUGUUGACUUGCAGUUGUAUCCCUCGGAAGCAUUCUCAAGCAGCAAAACCAAGGCUUUAUCACAGCCCCACUACAACCCCACAGAAAUUAUACUACUUUUGGGGAAAGCAUAGGGCAAAGAGAGAAAGGAAUUUACAAUCCUUACACAGCUAUUAGAACUGCUUCUGUAAAAAGAAAUGCCAAGAGCAGCACAGCUCAGCAAAGCCAUUCUUUUAGCCACAAAUACUCUUUAAACAAAAACAUGGAUGUAAUAAAGGAUAUUUGGGACUGAAAAAUAAGAAGCAUAACAGGACCACAGAAUAAGAAAUUCCGUAUGACACACUGGAUUCUCACAUGAAAAACAGUCUAAGAUGUCUUUCAUUAUUUUGGUCUGUGUAUCUUAAAGAACACAAAGUGAAUAUACAAAAGGCUUCUCUCCUUAGAAGAGCAUUAUCCUUUCAUGUGUGGCAGUAUGUUUGAUUGAAGACCAGCAACAUAAGGGAUAAGGUGGCCUGUCUGUACUGGAUGAGAUGUGAAAUGACAAGGGACUCGAUUUGUUUUGUGAAGGUGCCUUUACGUUCAAUUAUACUAGUUUUUAAGCUGUUUGCAUGUGAAUAUAUUUACACAUUCAGUAUUUUGGUCAUGUAGCUUUGGUCACACAUGGUGGGGUUUAUAGUACUUUAUACAUUCCUCUAUAAAUAGGUGCUGAGAAUAUCCUGCCCCAUCUCAGCAUCUGACUCCUAGAUGUAACAUUCACAGAUGGAACUCCCUUGAGUCAAGCAAAACUGAAUGUUUACAGAUGUGCUUGCCAGAUCUAUUGUGCUAGAAAAUCUUGCCAAAUCAUGACUCUUUUACUAAAAUGAGGAAGAGUUCAUAAAAUGGGAAUCCAUGUUUGAUGGGAAACACGUUGCUGAAGAAUACCAUCACAUUGUGAAACAGGAAAAAAAAAAGUAAAGAACAGUUCUACUAUGUCAGUAGAGGCCACUUUUCUCUUAUUUUGUAGAGGCAAGCUAAUCAGCCGCAACCAUGGUUAUUUAGCUUUCCCCAUAACUAGGCUACUAUGGACCAGCAGGACACUUCACAAGGUGAGAAAAACAACUUACCAGCUACUGGAUGCUCUUGCUUUCCAUUUUAAGUCCUUGCUCAAUUCUACCUCAGUGCACUGCCUGAAGCUGCCAGGGCUCCCUUCUCUUUUUCCCCUCUGCUCGGUUAGCAACCUCCCGCAAUGGGAGGCUGCUGAGAAUCACAGGAAUCAAACACCAUUCUCUGGAUUCCUUCUCUCCCCAAACACCACAAUGUGGCUCUCUUUGCUGUUAAUGAAAUUGGUUGCAACAACAGUUAUAAGAUUAUCCUUCUGAUUGUUUUUCCAGACAGAUGCUAAAUUGCCUUGUUAUAUUUGGACAUAUGUUGCUGCUUCUUUUCCUAAUGGACAUUUCUCAAGAGCAAGACCUGCCUAGGGUCAGCAAAGGGCAGGCAGUUUUGGAUCGGCUCCUCAGGACCCCUCAAACUGAGGAGGAUUCUCACUGUAUGCUGCUCACUCCUUCCCCCUCUCAGCUCUUCUGUGCCUCAACAUUUUUGUUGACUUUGCCAAGUCCCUCAAACAUCUGCUUCCUCCACCCCUGCUCUAGUGUUCAGGAAUGUCUCUGGCAAGAGCUUGUGGCCAGAAUGGCUUUCCUCACCUAAAACCUAUUCUCCUCUCUUGGUCUUCUCCCAACAGAACACCUCCCCCAGCAGAAAUAAGUUUAGUGACUGCAAACCUUAGUGACCACAACUCAGAUCCUCAUCCGUCUCUACUGCCCUUUUCACUGCACAAGACUGUAUCAGUGUCUCAGAAGAGGCUUGAUAGUGCACAACUCAAUCUUCCUCUUAUCUGUUCAUUACUUCGCUUUCAGUGACCAUUCCCCAGGUCUCUUCCAUUUAGUGUCCGUAGAAGACAAGUUUUCCUCCAGCCACCCCAUGACCUCCUCCUAUUCCUUCUCCUGAGAUUUCCCCACACGUCCAUACACAUCCCCCCCCCCCCCCUCCAAACUCUUUUCUAAAGAAAAUAGAGAAAUCUUUGUCCUAAAAACAAAACAGAAAAUCCAAUAGCACACCACCCAACCAAACAAUGCCCACAAAACAAAAUGGAGAAGAACCAACUUAUAAAAAUACCAAAAACUCCAUACAGAAACACAACAGUUAAUUUCUCCUUUCAUUUCUAAGCUCAUUCUGUGGUAUUAACACCACAAUGUAGUUUCUUGACACCACUUACACCUAAGAUCCUCUCCAGUCUUGCAUUCCUCCUCACGUUCAAUGAAGAUGCUGUCAUUAGCACUUCAAAUGAUUGUUUCCUAAACAUAUCUCACAGUCACUUACUCCAUUUUCAUUCAUUGUAUGUAUUAUUCUUAAGCACUUCACCGCAUAUGCUCAAAUACUUACUAUCUCAUACUCUCAUAAAUACUGCCUCAAUUCAAUUGCCUUAUUUCUUUAACUGACCCUUUAGACAGACACUCAGAUUCUUUGCUCUAGUUUUCUGUGGGACAUCUCUGUACCAUAACUAGAUAACAGUCUCUGUAACUUAUUUACCUAAAAUAGCUUUCCCCUUGCGGUAAGAUGAAGUAAGUUACAAAGCCCCCUCUUCUAGUUUUGGCUCAGAGGCUUCUCCCUGUUUAUGUCUCAAGUUGCUCCUCCUUCUUUGUUUCAGUUUAUCUUCUUUUCAGUUUUUCUGAUGGAAUGAACACAUUACUCUCUUGGUUUCUAAGAGACUUAGAAAUGUCAGGAUUAAAACAGCCAUGAGAAACCAGACCAACAUUUUUUGCCUCACUCCUUGCCCCCUUACUCACAGGGAAACUCAAAUGAGAGGCAGGAAGGGGUAAAUAGUCUCUGAGACCAAGGCAGCUGGUCUCAUCAGACAACCGCACCCAGCUGUUUUAUAUAUGGGACAGGAAAUUAGAAGCUGGAGUUGAAGGAUAGCUCUCCAUUCAGAAGCUUGAUGCAAAAAGACUGUUGUAUUAAAGGCUGUACCUUGUUUUUACUACAUAAAGAUUUGAACAAGUAGGAAGUAAUACUUCUGUUGCAGGGAAGAAAGUAGAAAAGUGAUUUUAUUUAUUUCCUGUGGCUUGCGUCUUUUUUCACUUCGCUAUGAUACUAUUACUUUGAAUAUGUUACACCAGAGUAUCAAAAAUCCAAAGUGAUUCUGUUGGAUUUACCUUUCUAAUUCUUUUGCUCAGUGCUUAUCAGUUUUCCUUCAAGAAGUCAACUAUUAUAAAGCACAAGUUGCAUAAAUAGACAUCUCCUAUAAGCUUGCACAGGACUUGAGUCUUGACUCAAUGCCAACUUAAUUAAUUCUUCCAGCCUAAACUUCACCCACAGGAUUGCGUUGCUUGCCUUGCCUCCAAAAACACUUGCAUUGAAUACUGGAGACCUAUCACUUAACUGGUAUGGACUAUCAAAAGAUCAUUGGAACAAGUGGCGAUUUCCCUCUAAGCCUGUGAAGCGUUUGGGGAAAAUAUUAUAACUAGAUUCAACUUCUCAGCACAGUUAUCUCAGAAGCAGUAGUGAGAAAAACAUAUUUCUCCCCCCCCACCUCUGUGUAUGAUGCAUCCAUCUCCCUAUUAUAGGAUUAAUGUCUUUCUUCUAAUACCUAAGCAAAUUUACUGGCUUACAGCAAGAAGCCCUGCUCACAAAAGAACAGGACUACCAAGUCACCAGCUGCAAGGACAAAAGGUAGCUGAUAUAGUUGCCUUUAACCAAUUUUGAAUCACCCAAGAAAGACAGCAGUCACAAUGGAUAAUAAAGAAGGAAUAACUUACCUUUUCUGAGGCUCAGGGCUCCCUGGAAACUCUCAAAAGCAGGUGAUCUCUAAGGCUGCCAACCCUUAAAUGAGCUUAGGGAGGGUUGGACCCAGGGUUGCACAGAUGAAUUGCUUGCACCUGUGUUCCCAGAGCUGGCAACGCCCCUUCACCAGGUGCUCAAUCACUGGUUCAGGCUGUGACCUAACGGCUCCCAUACGCCUGCCUCUCUACAGUGUGGGUUAGGCAUGGUUUGUACUGCAAGCAAUACGCAACUCAGAAUUGCCAAUCCUGGCAUAAUUUUCAGCAGAACUGCUAUAAAAUGAAGCAACCUCAUUUUUAAACCUCAUUAUGUUCUACAACUUCAUUCUUAUUUUUCCGUUCAUUAACAAAGAGACCGUGCCACGUUUUAUAUGAAUCGAUAAUGACUAAUGGAAUCAUACUUUACGCACUUGAAAUCAGAACUAAGUCAAAAAUGGAUAUGGAACUUAGUACAAUGUAUUUAAAAAUUUACCAUUACCACACUAAAAAAAUUACAGCAAUAUAAUAAAAAAGGAACAUAAUGACUGCAGAUCUAUUUCAUGGACUCAUGGUUUCCCUUUUUAUCAUCAAAUAUAAGAAUAUAACUUUAAAAAUGUAUUUGAAAAGUUUAAUUUCUAACAUUUAUUUACUGAACUCUUGGAAAAUGCGUCUACUGUAUAAUUAGAUUUGAUUACAAGAGCAUUUGGCAUGUAUGAGAGAUGGACGUCCAUACCUUUACUUCGCUCUCAUGAUCACUGCCUGUUCAAUGGGUAUAAAUUGCUAUAUUUUUUCUUUGAAUUUUGCCAUACCUAAAGUUCAGAAUGGUGCAAUUUUUUUAAUUGUUCUUUAUGCAUCUCUUUUUUUUUUUUUUUUUUUUUUUGGUAGUGGAUGUAAUCAGAACAUAUUUCAUUCCACGGCAUUCACGGUAAGGAGUUUCCUUCAUCUGCACAUGCCAUCUAUAGUGACGAUGCUCCUUUCCAGGUUGGAAACAGCUAGUACAAGCAACAAAACAAGUGGCUCAGUGUGAUGUAGCUGUCUAGAGAAGUGCCUUGUUGCACAUACCUCAGAGCAGUUUCACACCAGCUCAAUUUUGAGGGAGCUCCAUAUUCUCCAGGAAGACUUUGGCACGCAGUAGAUUCCCAGACUUCAUCUCUUCGUCUCAAAAUAAAAGCAUUGUGCUAGGAAUGGAAAUAUUUAGUUAUUUUCCUGUCAGUGCUGUAUAUUGUCAUUUUGUCUAUUUUUGACUAUGGUAUUUUUUUUCUUUUCCCUGCAUCACCCUAAUGCCAAUGAAACUCAUUAUUUCCAAGUGUUUAGAGUCCCCAGAACAUGAACAGAGUACGUCAGCUGCAAAUGAGGAUUUCUUCAUGUAGACAGGACUGCCUCUGUACCACUUAUAUGGACCAGGGCUGACUAAUUCAGGAAAAAUGUUUGCGCACAGAAGUAAUAUGCUUUAAUGGAAAUUCACACACAACAAGUUAUUUCCGUGGAAUAUUCCAUUGCUGAAGAAGCAGAUGACAGAACAGCAUCAUCAUGUUUGAAGCUGGAGCCUUGUGUAAGUGGAAAAUACACGCUUCAGCAGCUACCUCUUUCUAGAAGCUGAACUGGGCUAGUUCAGUCUGAUAGACAAUUUAGAAUUUGAACAGGUUUGCUAAUGAAAGUAAGGGCUUUCAAAAACACAUCACUGCCAUAGAUAGGGCCACAGUCCCCUAAGGUCUGGCUUUCUUGGCCUGAAAAGCUGUUUUCACAUUAGGGUUUAUGCCACAUAACCAGGGUACUGCUGUUCUACAGAGAUACUGAUUAAUUUGAACCCUGAGAAACGAGAGGCAGGGAGUGGGGCAGCAAACCCUUAACUCCAACAUUUCUGGGUUAUCUGAGGAUUCAGCUUCCAACCCAGUCCAGCCCAGUUGAACCCUACCUUGCAGCAGACUGGUGGGAUGUCAGGUGCCACUUGUGAACCUCUGCAAAGUUCAUAGCCCCUUUACCCUCUAAGGUGGCUCGGAGGGUAAGGGAGGUUGGCCAGC
ensembl:lncRNA